GCCGUUUCCGCCCAGUGGGGAACUUUUUGAACCUGUAGCCAAUAUACUACUUGCUAGAAAGAGCCCUGGACUGGCAGUCAGGAGGCCUGAGUUCAAUCCCCAACUUUGCCACCACCUACCUUUGUAAGUACAGGCCAGUCCCUGCCCGCUGCCUGGGCCUCAGUUUCCUCAUCUAUAAAAUAAGAGGGUGAGAUGAGGCAUCUGGAUUAGAUCUUUAAAAAUGGUUCAAUGCUACUUGCUGCCCAGACAUUCAGGCAGUGCUGGGGGGAUAGCAAGAGGCAAUGCAAUUAAACCUGAGUUUUUUUCUGGAGGAAGACCAUGUGGGCACAGAGCAGAAACAGCAGUGCCCCCCUCAAAUAAAAGGAGAGAUGAGAGAAGCCAGCAACAUAUAACCAGACCUACCAUCUGCAUCUAGGCACGGAGAGGCCUCCUCUGUCUAUGCUGUGGGAUAGGCUCUUGUCUCCAUGGUGACAGUCUAGGACCCCACUUCCAAGCCAACUGGAGAAACAGCUCUCCCAAGACUGCAAAAGAGUUGCUUGAGGGCCUUUUCUUUGGGUGAAGCUCCCUCUGUACAUUUCAAUACUGGUUUGCUGAUCAUUUGUGACUUCCUGUCUAAGAAGAGGUGUUGGGCAGCACCAAGGGAGGUUAUCUGUGAGCCAAAAUAUUAGACUGAAGCUUCAAUCUGUGCAGAAAUAGUUCAAGAAGGACAGAUGUGCUGACAGCGAUCAGUGAAGAAGCUAAGGCAGCACCUGAAAUAAUUUACACACUUGCAGGAGUUGGAGAAAGUGAAGUCCAUCCCCUGUGCUGAGCAGCUAGAGAGGCAUCUCCAAGUGCACUACAACCCGGGAUAGUGGGUCCCUCUCUAACCACUGUGGAGGAGGGGGGCCUACUUUGCAAACCCAUGCUUAGUUGUAGUGCAUUUGGGCAUGGCAGCUUGGGCUAGGAGGCAUGAUUUAUUUGGUGAAAUAAUAGGACCUUGAAGGCUCCCCCACCCCAGGCCCACCAUGGGAUAGCCAUGGAUUGGUGUUCCCCAGCCUCAAAGUCCCUCAUGACUGGUGUCAAUCACAGCCACUCCCACAGACUCCCCAGAAGGUGGGUCUCAACCUCACCAAGGAACCCCCAUUAGCAUGACCCCAGGCUGAAUUCAUCCAUCCUAUAACCCACAUAUUUCCAAGCUUUAGUCUCUCAUCAAAUUCCUCACCCAGGGUGGCUCCCAGGGGCCUGGCGUGAAGCCCUAUAGACAUCCCUCUGCGGAGAGACCUUAAAGUCACCCAUGGGGAGCCUUGUGGCUCUGGCAUAAGUCCCAGCCUCAUGACGAGUCAAGGGGUGGCCAGUGUGUAACCGAGGUUGGUGGGGGGAAUCUCAGCAGAGUGCCCCUGGUGUGAAGGGGGAACAGGCAGGCCCACAGGACAUGGUGCCCCACUACAGCCAGCCCUUCUCUGUGUGCCCCGCCCUGCCAUGCUGCAGCAUCCCCCAAGAGGGACCCUCUCCGCCCUUGCAGCCACAGAGGAGGAUAAAGGCUCUAGGUUGUCUUGCUCGAGGCCCUGAGGAGUGAGGCAAGCUGGGUCACCUCUCUGCAGUCCCCCUCCCUGCUUCCUUAGCUGCCCUAGCUUCUGGGCAAGGCGAGGGGGUGGCAGCCACAUGGAGGCUUAGCAUGAAUGUGCAAGUGGGAACACCCAGACUCAGGUCUCAGCUUUGAUUCUAGUUUGGGCAGUGGUUUCCCUGGAGCUGGGGGAUCUUCCUCCUCCUCUGACAUUCCAGAUUUUCUGACUGCAAGAUGCUUCCACCUAGUGAACAUGGAUUGGCUAUACUCUCUACGUGGCCUUGAACUAGUGGUAUGUGCACCCUGGGCCUCUUUCCUCCUCUAACAUGACCAGGUUGGAAACCCCUGCCGUGAGACUGAGUUGGGUCUGCGGGCCUUGGUGUGGACAACGACCAGGGCUGGGAGCAGGCCAGCCACUGCCCAGUAUGGAACUAAUACCAUGAGAUGCUUGGAAGGAAUAACUCAGAAACCCAGCAAGGCAGUGGGCACACCACCCUCCUCCCCAGUGAGCCCCUUAGACCCUGCCCCUGCAGCGACCACCAGAGCACUUCUGCAACACAGCAAAGUGCUGAUCUCUGCAACCCUUGCCACCACAUGCGCAGGGGAGCGAAUCCCUUGGUUUAAAGCAACCCAAGGGCUGCAGGGGACAUCUGGACAGGAGUUUCUGAAAGGUCUACAGUGUUGUUGAGAUUUCUCGCAGCCUCAGGAAACCGCUCCACCGUUGUCAAGCAGAGGAUCAAGAGACCAGCUUUAAGGAAAAGACGAGAACGUAGGGGAUGUGCGCCCGCAGGGAGGCUCAGGAGGCUGCAAAGGUCCCCUAGCUGAAAACACUGCCCCUGUGAUCUGGGUUAUUGGAUUAAUCUGGUUUGGUUCAUUAAAUUAGCCCCUGCUUCUUAGGUCACACCAAGGGAGGAAAUGCCCAAUGUCUGCGUCCAGCUCAGCCCCCACCCACGCUGCCUUCAGUGGGACUGAGCCAAGAACUGGGGCACUUAAGGGUUAGUCCCACUCCCAUGAUCAGGGUGCUGUGUGACUUUUGGCAAAUUGCUUGCUUCCUCUGUGGCCAUAUGUCACCUGUAACGACCCCACGGCAAAGGGAUGAGUGAGAUGUGAAUAAGAGAGGCCAUUCUGUGGGCAAGUGGAAACACUUCUUUAGGUUGGAUGUGAAGUUCAUGUGCACCAUUUCCAAUGAGGUGACCCAGCAUGCAGGUCUCCCAGAGUACUCAGCUGGUCUAGAACCCCCCAGGGUCCUUUGGCAUUGACAUUCAAAAGCCUUUGUGGAGUGCUUGCUGUUUGCCAGGCAUAGAGGGUACUGUGGGCAUUCCAGAUGCUGUCACCAUCCCUUUAGAGCUGCACAAGAAGCAUUUGAAGAGACUCCUCCAUGGAGCACGGUCCCCCCACCCUGGUGUUCCAGGCGGGUUGUCUAGACAGACCAUGCUCCCAGCCCCGAGGUCCCCCCAUGUGUGGGUACAGCCUUAGACUAGCACUGCCCAAGCACCUGGCACUGACAGCCAGCCCACCGAGUCUCAGACACUCCCUGAUGGCCAUGGCAUUGGGCGACCAAGUAGAACUCCUGCUGCAGGCCCUCGUGUCCAGGUCGGGCAGGUCCCCGAAGCAGAGCCCUGAACCUGAGGCCCCUCAGCUGAGGAGACCAAUUCCAGAUCCCGGGAACUCUGGCCCCAUGCCUAGGAAGGCUGAUGCCACUGUACAGAAGCCGCUCGGUUUCCAGCCUUCGCCUGUUUCCCAGCCAGUGCCCCCGUGAGAGCAAAAUGGACGGUGUCCACUGUCCUGCUUGACCCGCUUGGGAACUUACUCUGGCUGAUGAAUGGAGAAGCUGGAGUCAUCACAGGAUCCUGGGGGUUUCCACCUGCUCUUCAGUUAUAUGAAAAAGGGUUCCUCCCCUCGCUCUCCUAGGGCAGUAAAGGUUUCUGGAAGUUUCCUCUAACUCCUGCUUGCACCCUGCUGAUCCCUACCCUUAUCUGGGAGCCAAGCUUCCUCCUGUUUUCCUGUCUCUCCUUCAUCAGGGUCUCCCAAGGAAAAGGAGUAAAGAAAGGGGCCUUCCCCCAUCUGGGUGCCUCCCCCUCCCUGGUGAUUGGCGGCCCCGUCACCCACCUAGGUGGAACUGCAUGACACCCCAACAUUCGCCAUUUAGGGCUCCCACUGCUGCCUCUCACGACUGGCACAUUGUGACAUCUCCAGGUGACCCCAGACCCAAAGACAUUCCAUAUCCUUAGUACCCUGGGGACGGAAAGGGAAGGGAUUGGCACCCCGGGAACAGGGCAUGUGUUCGUGGUUGUGACUCUUGGAAGAGGGCUUUUCCCCCCAGAAGGGACUAGAGAAGUCGACCAAAAAAAGAGGAUGCAUUGCUCAGCUGUGAACAGCACCCUCCGCCACGCCAGAGUAAAAAUAGCCAGGGCAGGGUUAUGGCAUUCUGCAGCUGGGGUAGUCUGAGCUGCAGAGAUCAGCCCCCCCCCACCCCAUCUGGGGCUCAGCAGCAGCACCCGGCCAGGCUUCCAGCCUCCUGCUACAGAGCACCCUGACUCGUGUGUCCGGCCCUGCCCCAACCCAUUGCCUGUCGCUCAACAGCACCUCCUUCCUGGGGUACCUGAUGGUGGGACUUCCCGCUCAGGUCUCCUUGGCUCGGGGCCAGCUGUCUUGACCUUACAGCUGUUUCCAAGCCAAAGCGCCUCGCCUCAAUGCGCUGACCGUGGCGACACGUCAUAUGGUUUCACUCUUUGCCCAGGUCCGUGGCAUGGCUGGUGCUUGUCCCUGGCAGAGCCUCAAGUGCCUCUAAUAUGCUGCCCACCCCUUCGCCUGCUCACCUGUAAUGACCCCACAGUGCCUGUAACACGUCGUCCUUCUUGGGAUCUGCAUCACCUUCUCGCCCAGUAACCAAUUACAUUAUAGAUGUUGCAAAGGUCCUGGGAUCGGCCCUGGGCAUCAGUCCUGGGCCCUGGGCAUCCACCACACUUAGAAAAUCCUGCCCUGAGGUUAUGCGUGCGUCUGUUCUCAAAGGAAUGCCUUCUUGUACCUGGUGGCUACUGUUCUCCUGUAGGCCUUGAGCAC
rnacentral:lncRNA from 1 species